UCAUAAAUAUUCUUUACUGCCAUAGAUGUCGUAAGGGAAAAUAAUGAGAUUACCUUACUAUGAGUGUCGUCCAAAGCUGGUGCCAGAAGACUCGGUAAGACCAGAGACGCAAACGUUAAUCAUCUUAAACAGGCGUAAAGGGUUUGUAGGCAGCUUUCAUAAUAUUAUUUCUUACAAAAAUAAAGAAGUGGUCUGAUUGAAAGCUAGAAUCAAAAAGAGGUUAUAGUGUAUAACGCCUAGAGGAGGGCUGAUAUCCUUAGAUCCUAGGCAGAAUACUUAGGGCGAAGGCCACUCUCCACUAAUGAUUGACGCUGAGAAACGAAGGUAAGGGUAGGAAAUAGGAUUAGAUACCCCGGUACUCCUUUCUGUAAACGAUGAAUGGUAGUCAUUAGUAAAAUUAAAAAUUACUAGAGACGAAGUUAACACAAUAACCAUUCCGCCUUGUGAGUACUACUGCAAAGUAGAAAACAAAAAAAUUAGUCGGUCUCGAAGCAAACGGAGUGAAGCAUGUUAUUUA
rnacentral:rRNA from 1 species